rnacentral:misc_RNA from 1 species
CUGCGGAAGGAUCAUUAUAGAAAAUGACGUGAACUCUUAACGGAGUUCUCUCAAAGUGUUGGAGGGGAAGGCCUGCGCUUAAUUGCGCGGCUGUUUUUAAUCUCCUCCGCCUUUGAUACACACAUUGGAGUUUCUACUUUUUUGUUCUCUUUGGGAGGGUUCUGCUCUCCCAGAGGUAAACACAAACAAUCUUUUAUUAUACUAUUAACACAGUCAAAUGAAUUUUAAAAACAAAAUAUUCAAAACUUUCAACAACGGAUCUCUUGGUUCUCGCAUCGAUGAAGAACGCAGCGAACUGCGAUACGUAAUGUGAAUUGCAGAAUUCCGUGAAUCAUCGAAUCUUUGAACGCACAUUGCGCCCCUUGGUAUUCCGGGGGGCAUGCCUGUUUGAGCGUCAUUUCCCUCUCAAACUUUACGUUUGGUAGUGAGCGAUACUCUACUCUGGAGUUUGCUUGAAAAUGGGAGGCCAUAGGCGAAGCAUUGCUUUCCAAUCCUGCGGCCCUCUGCUUACUUCCCCUUGUGGGUUGUGGCAGGGGAAAGCGGGAGGCGCCUUGCCACGAUAGUCGUAUUAGGUUUUACCGACUCGGCGAAAGUGAAGAGGUUUGCUUUUUAAAAAGAAGCAGGCAGCGUCUGGCUUGACAAAAUUCUCAAAGUUUGACCUCAAAUCAGGUAGGAUUACCCGCUGAACUUAAGCAUAUCA